GGAUAUGAGGGCAAUCUGGCUGCGACAUCUGUCACCCCAUUGAUCUCCAGGGUUGAUUCAGCUGAUCUGGCUGGCUAGGCAGGUGUCCCCUUUCUCCUUCACUGCUCCAUCUGCGUCCCUCCUGAAGCUGCGUGCUCCAUCUAAGAGGACGACCAUACUGAUAGGGGAGGACCAGUCUUCGGUCAAAGGUAUACAAGUAGCUGUGCCCCCCUGCCAGAACCUCCAAACAAGCUCUCAAAUCACUGGUGCUCUGUAUUCAAAUGCCAACUGUCCUGGUCCUGGGCCAGCUGUCUUCUAGG
rnacentral:snRNA from 1 species